CUGGCGGCGUGCCUAAUACAUGCAAGUCGAACGGUCUUUCUAUGGAAGCUUGCUUCCACUGAGAAGAUAGUGGCGAACGGGUGAGUAACACGUGGGUAACCUGCCCAUAAGAGGGGGAUAACAUCCGGAAACGGGUGCUAAUACCGCAUAGUUUUCUUGAUCGCAUGAUUGAGAAAGGAAAGACGGCCUUUGUGCUGUCGCUUAUGGAUGGACCCGCGGCGUAUUAGUUAGUUGGUGAGGUAACGGCUCACCAAGACGAUGAUACGUAGCCGACCUGAGAGGGUGAUCGGCCACAUUGGGACUGAGACACGGCCCAAACUCCUACGGGAGGCAGCAGUAGGGAAUCUUCCGCAAUGGACGAAAGUCUGACGGAGCAACGCCGCGUGAGUGAAGAAGGUUUUUCCGGAUCGUAAAACUCUGUUGUCAGAGAAGAACAAGUUGGAGAGUAACUGCUCCAGCCUUGACGGUAUCUGACCAGAAAGCCACGGCUAACUACGUGCCAGCAGCAGC
rnacentral:rRNA from 1 species